UUAACAGCCCGGCGUAGCAAAGGCUGCGGACCUCGGUAUCUUUCCCUUUUUGAACAAAGGAGUGGAAAAUCCACUGUGUCCUCAAUUUUGGCAUUUAAAAAGACAUCCUGUUUUAAACGAAUCAAUAGGACAUUAAGGAACCUAGAAUAUCACCCAGUACCUAAGAGGUACCUAAUAAACACUUGUUGUAUGAAACUGAAUAUCACAACCAGCUAUUUGUGGACAAUAAGACCAUCAAUUGGUUAGAGCAAAGGUCAAGAUCAAAAUCAAAUUAUAAGAAAUAAUAUGAGAAGAUACUGUGAAUAAUUGUGACAACUUCAACUUGACCUAAUCAAACAAGCUGUCAAUGCCAGAAAAUGGGAAAUGGAAAAAGAUUAACCUGAAAAACAAAAGCCCAAAUUUUUAAGGCUAUAAAGCAGCAAGAUACACAAGAACACUUCUUCCAAAGUACUAAAAAUGAAUAUCACACAGAAGACAAUGAAGAUGCAUAUGAUGGAUGGAGUAGGCUACAAAAUCUAACCAUUGAGAAACUCCAAAGAACAAGAGUAAUGGAUGUCAUCAGGAAUUACAUAUAUUUCAAGUCAUCUCAAUUCAAACCAAAUCAGCAUGUGCCAAGCACUGUGCUAAGAACUGAGAAUAUAAAUACAAGCUAAAGAAAGUGAGUCCUGGCCCUCAAAAAAGCUUGUAUUCUAAUGGGGAAAGAUUAAAAAAAUUUUAAAGAACAAAUAGGUGAAAGGGAAAGGGAAGAAAUCUAGAGGGUUGAGAGUGGAGCCCAGGAAAGAAUGAAGGAGUAAAUCAAGACUGACCUGAAUACUUCCCUGAAAAUGAAAGUUCUGGGAAGAAAUGACAAAUCAAAGGAGGAAGUUGCAGAUUUUUCAAGGUUGGUAGGGAAAAAACUAAUCUUCCAGGAUGAGAAAGGUACUUAGUUAUGAUGGAGAAAGAAGUCUGGAGAAUUGGGAACAGAGCUCAGAGAUGAAUGAAGGAGUACCCUCCAAGGAUCACUGUGGCAGGUGCAUUUCCUCCACUAAAGCAGAUUCUAACCUCUCCUCAAUUCAGGGGAUGGUUUUUUUCUGAGUUGUCUCAGCUUGGAAGUUAUACCAUAUUUUACCACAUAAUAUCAUAUAAUACUAUGCUUGCUCUAACCUACUCGCUUCCAGACCCUGAGACUCUCUCUCUCUGGUACUGAGAUAUUCAGUUCUAAAUAUCCAAUCUGUAAUUCAUUAGUAUGGAACUUUCUCUGCAUUGGUGGAGAUCAAUACCCUCCUUCAUUUUGUAUGUGUGUAUGUAGGAGUUGGUGAAAAUGGAAAAGGGGAAUGUUUUUCAGUUUUCCUUUGAACCAUCCUCAAGCUCAGGAGAUUUCUUCAAGUUUCACAUCUCCAGGUUUUUUCAGCCUUUUUGGACUCUGCAGUCACUUCAGGCACUUCUGGCUUCCAGCUUCAAGAGGGAAAAUGGACAAGAUUAAUCUGUUGAAGGAAAAGACUCUGGGAAGACUAGAGAGGAGUUGGGAGUCUCCAUCAUAUCCUUAUCCUUAAGUUGCUACACUAAAGACUUUGGAGAACCUCUCCUUUGGUGAGAUACAAGACUCUCUCACUCUGUUUCUGUGUGUGUAUGUGUGUGUGUGUGUGUGUGUGUGUGUGUGUGUGUGUGUGUCCCUCUCUGUCUCUCUCUUGUCUCUGUCUGUCUCUGCCUUUUCUCUCUCUCUCCCUCCCUCCCCUCCCUCUCUCUCUGUCUGUCUGUCUCUCUAUUGUCUUUCUCUUGGUAUGUAACAUCACUCCCAAUGAAAAAGCUCUUUUUCUCUCAAUUGCCUGAUAUAUAUUCUAUAAUAUAUAUUUCUCUGAUUUGUUCUGUUAUUAAAUUGG